rnacentral:rRNA from 1 species
GAUGAACGCUGGCGGCGUGCCUAAUACAUGCAAGUCGAGCGAACGGACGAGAAGCUUGCUUCUCUGAUGUUAGCGGCGGGCGGGUGAGUAACACGUGGAUAACCUACCUAUAAGACUGGGAUAACUUCGUGAAACCGGAGCUAAUACCGGAUAAUAUUUUGAACCGCAUGGUUCAAAAGUGAAAGACGGUCUUGCUGUCACUUAUAGAUGGAUCCGCGCUGCAUUAGCUAGUUGGUAAGGUAACGGCUUACCAAGGCAACGAUGCAUAGCCGACCUGAGAGGGUGAUCGGCCACACUAGAACUGAGACACGGCACAGACUCCUACGGGAGGGAACAGUAGGGAAUCUUUCGCAAUGGGCGCAAGCCAGUCGGAGCAUAGCCGCGUUAGUUAGGAAUGUCUUCGGAUCGUGAAGACUUGUUAUUAGGGAUGAACAUAUGUGUAACUAACUGUACACAUCUUGACGGUACCUAAUCAGAAAGCCACAGCUAACUACGUG